rnacentral:rRNA from 1 species
UGGGGAAUUUUGGACAAUGGGCGCAAGCCUGAUCCAGCCAUGCCGCGUGCGGGAAGAAGGCCUUCGGGUUGUAAACCGCUUUUGUCAGGGAAGAAAUCUUCUGAGUUAAUACCUCGGGAGGAUGACGGUACCUGAAGAAUAAGCACCGGCUAACUACGUGCCAGCAGCCGCGGUAGUACGUAGGGUGCAAGCGUUAAUCGGAAUUACUGGGCGUAAAGCGUGCGCAGGCGGUUUUGUAAGACAGAGGUGAAAUCCCCGGGCUCAACCUGGGAACUGCCUUUGUGACUGCAAGGCUUGAGUGCGGCAGAGGGGGAUGGAAUUCCGCGUGUAGCAGUGAAAUGCGUAGAUAUGCGGAGGAACACCGAUGGCGAAGGCAAUCCCCUGGGCCUGCACUGACGCUCAUGCACGAAAGCGUGGGGAGCAAACAGGAUUAGAUACCCUGGUAGUCCACGCCCUAAACGAUGUCAACUGGUUGUUGGGAAGGUUCCUUCUCAGUAACGUAGCUAACGCNUGAAGUUGACCGCCUGGGGAGUACGGCCGCAAGGUUGAAAC